CCAUGUGAAGAAGGUGCUUGUUUCCCCUUUGCCUUCCGCCAUGAGUGUAAGUUUCCUGAGGUCUCCCAGUCAUACUGCUGGUUAAGCCUGCAGAACGGUGUACUUGUUUGAAAUGUAUCUGGCCCAAUCGCUGAGCGUCCGCGCUGCAUUUCUCCAAACUGCCCAGCAGGGGGCGGUGCUACCUCGGCUCCGCGCAGCCACGGCUUCCCGCUGGCGAACCAAGGGCGCGGAAUCUGGAGAGGGCGAGGAACAUCUUUCCUCCCACCUGUCCCCCGCCAAGCCUGCCAGACCCGUCUCAUCCGUGCUGCUGCUUCUGAAAAUCAGAAGAGUGAGGAUGAAAUAAAGUCUUCAUAAAGGAAAAAAAAAAAAAAAAA
rnacentral:lncRNA from 1 species